UACGUAGGGGGCAAGCGUUGUCCGGAAUCAUUGGGCGUAAAGCGUGCGUAGGUGGUGAGUUAAGUCUGAUGUGAAAUCCCCGGGCUCAACCUGGGAAUGGCAUUGGAUACUGGCUCGCUAGAGUGCGGUAGAGGGUGGUGGAAUUCCCGGUGUAGCAGUGAAAUGCGUAGAGAUCGGGAGGAACAUCUGUGGCGAAGGCGGCCACCUGGACCAACACUGACACUGAGGCACGAAAGCGUGGGGAGCAAACAGG
rnacentral:rRNA from 1 species